rnacentral:rRNA from 1 species
CCUACGGGCGGCAGCAGUAGGGAAUUUUCGGCAAUGGGGGGAACCCUGACCGAGCAACGCCGCGUGAACGAAGAAGUUAUUCGUAAUGUAAAGUUCUUUUAACAGGGAAGAAAGAGAAAUUUGACGGUACCUGAAGAAUAAGCUUCGGCUAACUACGUGCCAGCAGCCGCGGUAAUACGUAGGGAGCGAGCGUUAUCCGGAAUUAUUGGGCGAAAGGGGUGCGUUGAUGGCAUAGUAAGUCUUUUGGAAAAAUGCUGGGCUAAACCCAGUAGGGCAAAAGAUACUGCAAAGCUAGAGUAUGACAGAGGCAAGUGGAACUACAUGUGUAGCGGUAAAAUGCGUAAAUAUAUGUAAGAACACCAGUGGCGAAGGCGGCUUGCUGGAUCGAUACUGACAUUGAGGCACGAAAGCGUGGGGAGCAAACAGGAUUAGAUACCCUGGUAGUC